rnacentral:rRNA from 1 species
AUUGAACGCUGGCGGCACGCCUAACACAUGCAAGUCGAGCGGUAACAUGAGUUGUAGCAAUACAACUUGAUGACGAGCGUCGGACGGGUGAGGAACACGUAGGGACCUGCCCACGAGAGGGGGAUAACUAAGGGAAACUUUAGCUAAUACCGCAUAAUCACUGAGGAGAAAAGUGGCCCGCAGGGGUGACGCUUUUGGAGGGGCCUGCGUCCGAUUAGUUAGUUGGUGAGGUAAUGGCUCACCAAGACGAUGAUCGGUAACUGGUCUGAGAGGACGACCAGUCACACUGGGACUGAGACACGGCCCAGACUCCUACGGGAGGCAGCAGUGGGGAAUCUUGGACAAUGGGGGCAACCCUGAUCCAGCGAUGCCGCGUGGGUGAAGAAGGCCUUCGGGUUGUAAAGCCCUUUCAGCGGGGAGGAAGGUGUUGUGGUUAAUAACCGCAGCAAUUGACGUUACCCGCAGAAGAAGCACCGGCUAACUCCGUGCCAGCCGCCGCGGUAA